AAUGAUUCAUGGGGUAAAUCGUCAGCAAGCUCCUGGGGAAACAAGGGAGAUGGUAAUGAUGGAGGAGGAUGGAAUACUAGUGGAGGCAGCUGGAAGCUAAGAGGUGAUGACAAGGCCGACUGGAAGAACGGGACAAACAAUGUUGGCGAAGGAUGGAAAACUAGUGGUGGAGGCAGUUGGAACCAAGGAGGUGCUGAUAAUAGUCAACCGCGGCGAUUGGAUUCCAAGAAUGAUGAAAGCAGCAAUCAAGCUGGUGGUUGGGGCAAGGGUACUAAUGCAGG
rnacentral:misc_RNA from 1 species